CACGUAGGUGGCAAGCGUUAUCCGGAUUUAUUGGGCGUAAAGAGAACGCAGGCGGUCUUUUAAGUCUGAUGUGAAAGCCUUCGGCUUAACCGGAGUAGUGCAUUGGAAACUGGGAGACUUGAGUGCAGAAGAGGAGAGUGGAACUCCAUGUGUAGCGGUGAAAUGCGUAGAUAUAUGGAAGAACACCAGUGGCGAAAGCGGCUCUCUGGUCUGUAACUGACGCUGAGGUUCGAAAGCGUGGGUAGCAACCAGG
rnacentral:rRNA from 1 species